UGGGGAAUAUUGCACAAUGGGCGCAAGCCUGAUGCAGCCAUGCCGCGUGUAUGAAGAAGGCCUUCGGGUUGUAAAGUACUUUCAGCGGGGAGGAAGGGAGUAAAGUUAAUACCUUUGCUCAUUGACGUUACCCGCAGAAGAAGCACCGGCUAACUCCGUGCCAGCAGCCGCGGUAAUACGGAGGGUGCAAGCGUUAAUCGGAAUUACUGGGCGUAAAGCGCACGCAGGCGGUUGAUUGAGUCAGAUGUGAAAUCCCCGGGCUUAACCCGGGAAUUGCAUCUGAUACUGGUCAGCUAGAGUCUUGUAGAGGGGGGUAGAAUUCCAUGUGUAGCGGUGAAAUGCGUAGAGAUGUGGAAGAAUACCGGUGGCGAAGGCGGCCCCCUGGACAAAGACUGACGCUCAGGUGCGAAAGCGUGGGGAGCAAACAGG
rnacentral:rRNA from 1 species